GCUAAGUCUGCUGUGAGAUAAAGUACUUCUCACUCAAGCACACAUUCACUAGGAUGACAUUCAAUCCUUAAAGGAAACGACCCUGUCAACAGCAUGGUGUUCCGACUUGGACUUUGUGUGAUCUUGCUGUGUGCUUGCGGAUAUGUUACCGAAUCCAGUGACUGUCAAAUUCGUGACAACUACGACACCUUUAUAAAAUCCGUGGACUACUUUCUGGCUGCCAUGGAUAAAACAUGUGGGAACACGGACAUGCGCAGUGAAAGCAAGGCAACACACCUACAGACUAUGGACAACCGUAUAAAUGACCUCGAGAAGAAAGUCGCCAAUCUGACGGCUGAGCUAGGUGUAGAUUGUGGCCCACCGACUCCUAUAGAAGGCACAGACGUUGUCUACAGUUCAACAGGUCUUCAUUCUGUCGCAAAGUACAGAUGCAAGAAGGGUUUGCUGAACAAGAGUCCUGGUGACCAGAUGAUGAGCUUCUGUCUGAAGGACGGGUACUGGACGAUGGUCAGCACGACGUGUGUCAACGUAUCCGGUUGCUGGAUGAUAUCUGGUUCAAGAGUGUUAUAUACUGGCACUCAGUCAAGAACCAGAUCCGGCAAGACCUGCCAGCGGUGGGAUGCUCAGGAGCCACACUCUCACGGCUACGAAGACGGGCAGUUCAUUAUCUCAGGCUUUGACUCGCUCCAAACUGUUAAGGAAUCUGCCAACUACUGCCGUGACCCAUCACGCAGCGGGUAUUUGUGGUGUUACACCUCGAAUCCAAAGAAGCGUUGGGAAAAGUGUGAUGUCCCCAUGUGUUCGAUGCUCCCCUCUCCUCCACCCUCCCACUAACGGAAGCAGUAUUGCCUGUUCUAGGUUCUGUGCUCCCCUCUCCUCCACCCUCCUACUAACGGAAGCAGUAUUGCCUGUUCUAGGUUCUGUGCUCCCCUCUCCUCCACCCUCCUACUAACGGAAGCAGUAUUGCCUGUUCUAGGUUCUGUGCUCCCCUCUCCUCCACCCUCCUACUAACGGAAGCAGUAUUGCCUGUUCUAGGUUCUAUGCUAUACUUCAAACUACAUUACUAAUAAAUGAACCUUUUUCCUUCGAAGAUUGAAAACGCGUCCUGGUUUUGGUCUGACUUAGGCCUGGAGCGGUAGCUGCUUUUGGCAGCGUGGUAGUUGCCAAGCAAUGGUAGCGUUUAAAUAUGCUACCAUGGGGGCCGGACAGCGGUAGCAGUCUCAGGCCAGCAGAGCCAGCUGUGAAACGCCGUUGGCCACGACAUUGGCCAUGGCAACGGUAGCAUUUUGGUAUACACAACUAGCAGCUUAGUGGCCCACCGGUACCUGCACAUCCUCGGCCAUUUAACCCAAUCUCAUCUUCUGUUUUUAUUAUAGGCACGGGCAUCCACGGCUCAGCGGCCCGUGCCUCUCCUUGGCAUAUCGCGGGAUAGUUGUUGUGUUAAACCUCGAAUCAAAAGGCACGUUGAGAAAAGUGCGAUGUCCCUAUGUGUUCCAUGCCAAAUUGAUUUGUUUGUGCAAGUACAUAACUGACACAAUGGACCCCUCUCGUCCGCCUUCCUACUAACGGAAGCAGUAUUGCCUGUUCUAGGUUCUAUGCUAUACUUCAAACUACAUUACUAAUAAAUGAACCUUUUUUCCUUUGAAGAUUGAAAAACGUCCUGGUGUUUUAUUUGUAAUAGUGAUAAUUAAAACAAAUUAAACUUCAAAUUCGAAUACCGCA
rnacentral:misc_RNA from 1 species